rnacentral:rRNA from 1 species
GCUAAUACCGGAUAAUAUUUUGAACCGCAUGAUUCAAAAGUGAAAGACGGUCUUGCUGUCACUUAUAGAUGGAUCCGCGCUGCAUUAGCUAGUUGGUAAGGUAACGGCUUACCAAGGCAACGAUGCAUAGCCGACCUGAGAGGGUGAUCGGCCACACCGGAACUGAGACACGGUCCAG